GACGAACGCUGGCGGCGUGCCUAAUACAUGCAAGUCGAACGCAGUGGGGACGGGUGCGUAACACGUGGGUAACCUCCCAUCAGAGGGGAUAACCCUUGGAUACAGCUGCUUAACCGCAACUGAUGGAUGGACCCGGUGUGCAUUAGCUUGUGGGGGGGGUAACGGCUCACCAAGGCAACGAUGCAUAGCCGAGCUGAGAGGGUGAUCAGCCACACUGGGACUGAGACACGGCCCAGACUCCGACGGGAGGCAGCAGUAGGGAAUAUUGGGCAAUGGGCGAAAGUCUGACUGAGCAAUGCCGCGUGAGUGAAGAAGGUUUUCGGAUCGUAAAAUACUGUUGGUAGAGAAGCGGUAUCUAAAGAGAAAGCCACGGCUAACUACGUGCCAGCAGCCGCGGUAAUAC
rnacentral:rRNA from 1 species